rnacentral:lncRNA from 1 species
UUAUAAAGAAAGAGAAAGUAAAAGGAGGGGCGCCACGUCAGAGCGUAUUAUUUAAAUUUCGAAUUUAUGUUUAAUUUUUAUUGGGUUUGGCUUGGAAAAAUCGAGAAGCGACUCAAGGAGCUUGUGGCUGAGAACGCAAGACACCCGGCACUUUCUGGUAGAGUGUCUCACUCCUUUUUCGCCUUUUUCUCUCUCCUCCUCCUCUGCCGAUUUUUAUUAAUAAAUCCAACACCACUGUGGAUAAUUAUUCAAUUUUAUUUUUGUGGAAGAUAAUAAUACUCUAGUGGAUAAGGGUGGAGUAGGAAGAGGAGGCUAUUUACUAUUUUUAGAAUUUUUCUUUUUCUUCAGUUAUGAAAUGUACUAUUACACUGAAAUGGUGGGAUAGAUUUUUGGUCAAUUACAUAGAAGUUUAUUUUGAGAUAUUUUAUCCUAUAUGGGCCCAUCCAAAUAGUUUUACCCACAUAAGUCCACUCAAGCCUAAAUACUGUCUUAUAUUUGGUAUUAAAGUUCAACAAAAUUACAGACUGCCAUCCAACAAAAAAAAUUAGAUUUUCUCUCAUAUAUUUACAAAAAUACCACUAAUGUAAAAAGUCAACAACCAUAAAAAGUCUUCAGCUGACCUCCGGCGAGCUCUCCGACCGAUCUCUGGUGAACUUUCCGGCCGACCAUCAGUGAGGAUUCUGGCGACCACAAAAGUUACUACCACCGAUAACAAAAGCUACUACAGCCAGCAAAGAAAGCUACUACCACUGACAACAAAAGAUACUACCAGCAUCAACAAAAACUACUGCCACCAGGAAAGAAAGCUACUACCACUGACAACAAAAGAUAAUACUGCUAGCAACAAAAGGUACUACCGACAACAAAGAAAGCUACUACCACUGACAACGAAAGAUACUACAAUCAUCAACUAAAACUACUACCGCUACAACAAAAAAUACUACGUACAACCAGCAACCAAAGCUACUACCACCAACAACGAAAACUAUUUCACCAACAAUGAAAACUACUACCGCCGACAACAAAAACUACUACCGCCGAUAAGCAAAGCUACUAUCUCCAUAAACAAAAGCUACCGCUAGCAAUAAAAGUUACUACGACCAGAAACAAAAACUACUACCACCGAUAAUAAAAGCUACUACAGCCAGCAACAAAAGCUACUACCACUGACAACAAAAGAUACUACCAACAUCAACAAAAGCUACUGCCACCAGCAAAGAAAGCUACUACCACUGACAAUAAAAGAUACUACCGCUAGCAACAAAAGGUACUACCGACAACAAAGAAAGCUACUACCAAUGACAACGAAAGAUACUACCAUCAUCAACAAAAAUUACUACAGCUACAACAAAAAAUACUACGUACUACCAGCAACCAAAGCUACUACCACCAACAACGAAAACUAUUUCACCAACAACAAAAACUACUACCGUCGACAACAAAAACUACUACCGCCGAUAAGCAAAGCUACUACCUCCAUAAACAAAAGCUACCACUAGCAAUAAAAGUUACUACAACCAGAAACAAAAACUACUACCACAAAAGAAAAUAAAAAACAGUUAAUGCAACCAACAACAAAAACUACUACCGCCAUCAACGAAAGCUACUAACUAGCGUAAUAAAAGCUAUUACCAAAUAAUACAAAAUUUACUCGAACGUGACAAAAAUAUACUAUCAGUGUCAUAAAUAUACUAUCACAAGGUGAAAAACAUACUGUCACUUUGUUGAAUAUAUACUACAAAGUAAUAUAAAAGCUGCUCAAUCUUUUUGGCUCAUAUAUUAGUCACUAAUCACUGCAUCAUGUACAUUAAAGCUUCAUAACUCUACAAAACCAAGACAAAGCAACAACAACCUACAAUAAAAACUACUACCACUAUCAACAAAAAUUAAUAACGCCAAGCCAAACAAUAACUACUGUCAUCGACAACAAAAUCUACUACCAAACAAAACAAAAUCUACUGUCAUAGGUUGAGAAAGAUACUAGCAUAGAAAUUGAAAAAAAUACUACGAUUAUUUAUACAAUACUAUGAUUGUGUUGAAAAGAUACUAAUCCAGACAUUAAAAAUACUAUCACUGUGUUCAAAAUAUACUAACAUAGAAUUGGAAAAUGUUUUGGCAGGGUUGCCAUUAACUCCAGCAAACAAAGUGCAAAAACAUAAAUUUGUGAUUCCGUCUUCGUCGAAGUCGCCUUCUCCGCAGCAACCGGCGCUUCCUUCACCACCAUAUCGAAACUCUCGUUCCACGGAUCCUCCACCACUAUAGAUCGACUUCAAAUCGGAGAUUGACGUCGGAGAGAGACGUAUGAUCAAGUUAGCAUCCUAAAAUCCACAAAACAGAAAUAAGAAAAUCACCGAUCGAGUUAACAGCAACGUCGACCAAAUAUGAGAUUGUAGCGAAUUCAAACCUUGAGUGAGGAGGAAGGACGAAGAUGGAGCAGAGAUCGCAGGCCUUGUUGAUCUUCAUCUUCAUUUCGCUCCGAAUCAGCGAGUUCUAGGUUUGAGAGGUGCAGCCGAAGAUUUAUCUGAAACGAAGGUGAAUCCACCGAGCGCCUCUCCGGCACGAAGUCCGCCGCUAGGGAAACGCCGUCAACCGAUUCCGGAUGAAGUUGGUGAAGCCGAUCUACGACACCGUCGAUUAGGAUACAUGCUGGAGUCGUCGUCGUUCAUCUAGGUUGUCAUCAAUGGCGUCAGCAACGAAGGAGUCGAGAUUGGUGGGGAGAGAGAGAGAGAGAGAGAGAGAGAGAGAGAGAGAGAGAGAGAGAGAGAGAGAGAGAGAGAGAGAGAGAGAGAGAGAGAGAGNNNNNNNNNNNNNNNNNNNNGAGAGAGAGAGAGAGAUUUCGUAGAGGCAGAGAAGAUGGGUAUGAAGUUGAAAUGUUAGGGUAUGAAGUGGGGUUGAGGGUAGUUUAGGUAUCAGAGAAAAAAUUAGCUGAUAAGUGUGGGUUUAAAAUGGACUUGUAUAAGUAAAAAUGUUAGAGUGGACUUAUGAAGGAGAAAAUAUUGAAAAAGGGACUUGUGUGAAAUUUUCUAUAGAUUUUUAGGUCUACUUUGCGAUAUAUAUCUCUUCUUCUGCAUUUUUUAUUUUUAAAUAUAUCAACGGUUAGUAUGGGAUAUUUAUAAGCAAUUAUUUAGGUUUUAGUUUUGUGUUUGGAGAGAGAGCAACAUGAAUUUCUACUGUGUCUGUUGAUCUAAAAAAAAUUUAAUAGUUACUCGUAUAAAUUAUGUAAAAAUAUAAUUUACAGAUUUACUUUUUAAAGUAAACAUUAUAUAAACAGUUAAAAUAAGUGGUAAUGAACAUUUAUCAAACAACAUGUUAGUAGAUACUGUAUAGAAGAUAUGUAAUGGUCGAUUCAUGUUUGAUCAACAUACUUUAUUAAACACUUCACAAAAAAAAAUAUUAAAGAAAAAGUAAUUUUCACUUAUUUUUUGCAUGAUUUAUGUCUGUGUUGAAUUCGUCAGUCUCAAUAAUAUGUCUUUAUCUUUCAAUCAAAAAAUAAUGUCUUUAUCUAGAAAACGUUGUGUUAUAUUUGUUAUCAUUGGCCCAUAAUAAAAUAAUUUUAGAACAAGAAAUGGAAAAACAAAAAGAAAAGUAGAGAAAAUAUCUUAGCCACAAGAAACAAGGAGAGACAAAGAAGGGUAGUGGGUAGGCAAGGGUCAUAGACCAAAAGUGCUAAGUGGUGUCGCUUCAGCCUUCGAUCUUGAUCUCAAUAGUGUAAAAUGGAUGAAUGGAUGGAUAGAAUAGAACUGGGAUUUAAUUAUUACCUAAAAUAGAGACGUGUGAGGUUUUUUUUAAGUUUUAUCUCUAAAAUUAAAAAACAAAAUAGCUGGCCCGCACUUGAGUCUAUCUGCGCUUUUUCGACACCUCAGCUGCCCUUUUCUUCCUUCCUGGCAUCCCAAUUUCAACGCCACGCCCCAACCCUGCCCCACCUCUUAUCUAAAACUUCAUUUUUGCUUAUUUCUUGUUUUAAUUAGGGUAUGUUGCUACAAAUGAUAAUUGUAGAUACUCUCCUUUUAUCGUUCGAAAUGUGUCCUUGACUAAUAGUGCAAUUCAGUUCAAAUUCAAGCAUGCUCGUGGCUGAGGUGAGGUUCAAGAGGUCGUCGUCUUUUGGGUGCGCACCAAAAUAUAUUUAUAUAUACAUAUUCAUGUAUUUUGUAUAAACCUUAAAUUUGUUCUUCUUUCUCAUUUUCUAGUGUACAUUUUACUCAGUCAAUAUUAAAAAAAUUCAUACAUUUAUAUUCAAGAUGGCAUAUUUACAGUUUUUAUAUGUGUCUUGUAAUUUGCAUAAACUUUUUUCUACAAUUGUCAUAAUUUUUUUUAUCGUAUGACCAUUAGAAAGCACUAUUAUUAGAAUUCGUCACAGGUCUUCAAAUUUUAGGUUCGAUCUUGAAUUAAAUGUAUAUUUAUGUGAAUUUUUUGUACGGCCGUAGCUACUUAAAAAUUGAGAGAGAUCAUGACACAUCUCAAGUGCUAUAUAUGUAUUUCAUUCUUCUAAUUUAAUCAUAUGAAAUUUAUAUUUCAUUUAAUUGUAUAUAGGCCCCCUGACCCCUAAUAUUCAAU